rnacentral:rRNA from 1 species
GAGUACGGUCGCAAGCUGAACUUCAAGAAUGACGGGCCGCACAAGCGGUGAGCAAUGUGUUAUUGAAGCACGCGAGACCAUACCAGUCUGACAUCCUCUGACACCUAGAGAUAGGCUUCUCCUUCGGAGCAAGAGUGACCAGGUGGUGCAUGGUGUCGUCAGCUCGUGUCGUGAGAUGUUGGGUAAGUCCCGCAACGAGCGCCAACCUUGAUUCUUAGUUGCCAGCAUUCAAGUUGGGCCACUCUAAGGUGACUGCCGGUGACCAAAACCGGAGGAAGGUGGGGAUGACGUCAAAUCAUCAUGCCCCUUAUGACCUGGGCUACACACGUGCUACAAAUGGACAGAACAAAGAGCAGCGAGACCGCGAGGUUAAGCCAAUACCCACAAAUCCGUUCUCAGUUCGGAUCGCAGUCUGCAACUACGACUGCAUGAAGCUGGAAUCGCUAGUAAUCGCGGAUCAGCAGCCGCGGUGAAUACGUAUCCCGGGCCUAUGUACACACCGCCCGUCACACCACGAGAGUUUGUAACACCCGAAGUACGGUGAGGUAACCUAUUAUGGAGCCAGCCGCCGAUAGGUGGGACAGA